CCCACCGCCCGCCCCUUUCCACAAAUGCCACCAAUCAAGCCAUUUCUUUCUCAAGGGGAACUGAGUGAUUUGCAGGGUUUGGGGAAGGUUGCCUGUGCCUAAAGCAUCAUUCCGUCCCACUCUGGACUCAGGAUGGGCAACAGCUCAUCUCUGCUUGGUAAGGUCUACAGCUUCAACUGAGGACUUUAAUCCUGAGGGUAACUCAAGAGCAGGAGCAGGAAACAUCAGCGGCCAUCCUCACUCCUGCAUGUCUGGCCAUUGGUGCUGCCUGUCAGGUUAUGCUGGAGUGGUGCAGUGUUACUCUUGAAACCUGGUGCUACAAGGCAACAUGUUUCUUCCUUGCUGGUGAGACAUUUGUUCUCUGACGUCUUAGGUGCUGUGCACGGAGCUCGACUAUCCUGAAUCCACCAUGAUUCGACCUCAUGUCAGUCCUUUGGCUGCCAGCCCAGUUCAACUCCAAGCUGAUGACCAGUGUCGACCGCCAGUCAUUCUGAACAUUUGACCAGUUGAGCUUUCAAAUGAUGGCAGUCCUGGCUGACAUUUUGGGUGAACAAUAUGAGAGACUGACUGGUUGAGCCCUUCCCAAAUUUCUGACCCACAACAUUGUGAGAAAAAUAAUCUUAAGCCUCUCAGUUUGGGGACAAUUUGUUACUCAGCAAUAGAAAUGAAAAUAUGAUCUCAGUAGGACCAUGUGACUUGCAGCAACCAGGGUGACAAUGAACGUCCCUGCAGAUACCCGAGGAGGGGACGCAUGAAGGUUCCCUAGGUGCCCUGUAAAUCUACAGCUUCCUGCUUUCCUCUGCCACAAACACAUGACACGCUGUACCUCUACACCUAAUCUUUUGGUUUGGAAAGGAACGGAAGGUGAUAGAAAUCUGAAAGUUGCGACUGAGGUUUACCAUCCUAAACACAUUAUUUCAGGAGACUAACUCCAAGAUGAUUGGCAUGAACUAGAAUUUUUCUCCCCUUUCUUAUAAAGCAAAUGGGACAGCUCAGGAGGAAGAUCGGAGCAGUUAUAUACAAAAAAUUAACACACAAAUGAAGCAACCACGUGGCCUCUGUGUAUAUGGAGAAAAGUGUGAGCAAAUGUGGGGCCCUAAUACAGAAUGUCAGCCAGGAAGACGAGGAAGGCAGACCUCCCUAGAACAGUGGUACAAGACAUUGGUGGUCAUCUUAACAGAUGUGCACUGACUGAUAUCCUUCAGAAUAGGAAGGAAAUGUGAGAUCUUAAGAAGGAAUUCUAGGGGAGGUCUCAGCUUUACCCCCUGUGACUUGCACUUGGUCAGUAUACAACUUAUUCUUCCCACCAGAGUGAUAGAAAGAAAAAAAGAAACUGAGUUCUGUAUGUUGAGAAAUAUCAUCUUGGCCUUUAAAUUAUUUUAAAAUUAUAGCAACA
rnacentral:lncRNA from 1 species